rnacentral:rRNA from 1 species
CCUACGGGAGGCUGCAGUGGGGGAUAUUGCACAAUGGGGGGAACCCUGAUGCAGCGACGCCGCGUGGGUGAAGAAGCGCCUCGGCGCGUAAAGCCCCGUCAGCAGGGAAGAAAAUGACGGUACCUGACGAAGAAGCCCCGGCUAACUACGUGCCAGCAGCCGCGGUAAUACGUAGGGGGCAAGCGUUAUCCGGAUUUACUGGGUGUAAAGGGGGCGCAGACGGCGAUGCAAGCCAGGAGUGAAAGCCCGGGGCCCAACCCCGGGACUGCUCUUGGAACUGCGUGGCUGGAGUGCAGGAGGGGCAGGCGGAAUUCCUGGUGUAGCGGUGAAAUGCGUAGAUAUCAGGAGGAACACCGGUGGCGAAGGCGGCCUGCUGGACUGCAACUGACGUUGAGGCCCGAAAGCGUGGGGAGCAAACAGGAGUAGAUACCCGAGUAGUC